rnacentral:rRNA from 1 species
AUCGGGACUGUAUCAAAGUCAUGCGGACAAGGAUGAGCCUGCGUCUGAUUAGCUUGGUUAGGUGGGGUAAAAAGCCUACCAAGGCGACGAUCAGUAGCCGACCUGAGAGGGUGAUCGGCCACACUGGAACUGAGACACGGUCCAGACUCCUACGGGAGGCAGCAGUGGGGAAUAUUGCACAAUGGGCGCAAGCCUGAUGCAGCAACGCCGCGUGAGUGAUGAAGGCCUUCGGGUCGUAAAACUCUGUCCUAAGGGAAGAUAAUGACGGUACCUUAGGAGGAAGCCCCGGCUAACUACGUGCCAGCAGCCGCGGUAAUACGUAGGGGGCAAGCGUUAUCCGGAAUUACUGGGCGUAAAGGGUGCGUAGGUGGCCUGACAAGUCAGGGGUCAAAGGCAACGGCUCAACCGUUGUAAGCCCUUGAAACUGUCGGGCUUGAGUUCAGGAGAGGAAAGCGGAAUUCCUAGUGUAGCGGUGAAAUGCGUAGAUAUUAGGAGGAACACCAGUGGCGAAGG